rnacentral:lncRNA from 1 species
UUUUUUCACAUUUGUUCUGUUUCCAUGGUAACGGCAGCCAUUUUUUACCAUUCCAAUGUCUCUUGCACAACUCCACAUGGCGGUUCAUAUUAUGGUAUAGUUCCAUCAACAUUGGUCUGCCCAGUUCUGAGAAAUAGUAUGGACAAAAUGUGUGGAAGAAUAAAAAUAAUAAUAAUAAUAAAAAGAAAAAAAAGAAACGAACAAUAACAAGAUGUCACCCCAACUCCGUUGAGGGUGC